AGAGUUUGAUUAGGGCUCAGAUUGAACGCUGGCGGCAGGCUUAACACAUGCAAGUCGAGCGGCAGCGGAAAGAAGCUUGCUUCUUUGCCGGCGAGCGGCGGACGGGUGAGUAAUGUCUGGGGAUCUGCCCGAUGGAGGGGGAUAACUACUGGAAACGGUAGCUAAUACCGCAUAAUGUCGCAAGACCAAAGUGGGGGACCUUCGGGCCUCACACCAUCGGAUGAACCCAGAUGGGAUUAGCUAGUAGGUGGGGUAAUGGCUCACCUAGGCGACGAUCCCUAGCUGGUCUGAGAGGAUGACCAGCCACACUGGAACUGAGACACGGUCCAGACUCCUACGGGAGGCAGCAGUGGGGAAUAUUGCACAAUAGGGGAAACCCUGAUGCAGCCAUGCCGCGUGUGUGAAGAAGGCCUUCGGGUUGUAAAGCACUUUCAGCGGGGAGGAAGGCAAUGGCGUUAAUAGUGUCAUUGAUUGACGUUACCCGCAGAAGAAGCACCGGCUAACUCCGUGCCAGCAGCCGCGGUAAUACGGAGGGUGCGAGCGUUAAUCGGAAUUACUGGGCGUAAAGCGUACGCAGGCGGUCUGUUAAGUCAGAUGUGAAAUCCCCGGGCUUAACCUGGGAACUGCAUUUGAAACUGGCAGGCUAGAGUCUCGUAGAGGGGGGUAGAAUUCCAGGUGUAGCGGUGAAAUGCGUAGAGAUCUGGAGGAAUACCGGUGGCGAAGGCGGCCCCCUGGACGAAGACUGACGCUCAGGUACGAAAGCGUGGGGAGCAAACAGGAUUAGAUACCCUGGUAGUCCACGCUGUAAACGAUGUCGAUUUGAAGGUUGUGGUCUUGAGCCGUGGCUUUCGGAGCUAACGCGUUAAAUCGACCGCCUGGGGAGUACGGCCGCAA
rnacentral:rRNA from 1 species